rnacentral:rRNA from 1 species
GCAUGGCGGCAUGCUAUACAUGCAGUCGAACGAGUUCUCGUUGAUGAUCGGUGCUUGCACCGAGAUUCAACAUGGAACGAGUGGCGGACGGGUGAGUAACACGUGGGUAACCUGCCCUUAAGUGGGGGAUAACAUUUGGAAACAGAUGCUAAUACCGCAUAGAUCCAAGAACCGCAUGGUUCUUGGCUGAAAGAUGGCGUAAGCUAUCGCUUUUGGAUGGACCCGCGGCGUAUUAGCUAGUUGGUGAGGUAAUGGCUCACCAAGGCGAUGAUACGUAGCCGAACUGAGAGGUUGAUCGGCCACAUUGGGACUGAGACACGGCCCAAACUCCUACGGGAGGCAGCAGUAGGGAAUCUUCCACAAUGGACGCAAGUCUGAUGGAGCAACGCCGCGUGAGUGAAGAAGGCUUUCGGGUCGUAAAACUCUGUUGUUGGAGAAGAAUGGUCGGCAGAGUAACUGUUGUCGGCGUGACGGUAUCCAACCAGAAAGCCACGGCUAACUACGUGCCAGCAGCCGCGGUAAUACGUAGGUGGCAAGCGUUAUCCGGAUUUAUUGGGCGUAAAGCGAGCGCAGGCGGUUUUUUAAGUCUGAUGUGAAAGCCCUCGGCUUAACCGAGGAAGCGCAUCGGAAACUGGGAAACUUGAGUGCAGAAGAGGACAGUGGAACUCCAUGUGUAGCGGUGAAAUGCGUAGAUAUAUGGAAGAACACCAGUGGCGAAGGCGGCUGUCUGGUCUGUAACUGACGCUGAGGCUCGAAAGCAUGGGUAGCGAACAGGAUUAGAUACCCUGGUAGUCCAUGCCGUAAACGAUGAAUGCUAGGUGUUGGAGGGUUUCCGCCCUUCAGUGCCGCAGCUAACGCAUUAAGCAUUCCGCCUGGGGAGUACGACCGCAAGGUUGAAACUCAAAGGAAUUGACGGGGGCCCGCACAAGCGGUGGAGCAUGUGGUUUAAUUCGAAGCAACGCGAAGAACCUUACCAGGUCUUGACAUCUUUUGAUCACCUGAGAGAUCAGGUUUCCCCUUCGGGGGCAAAAUGACAGGUGGUGCAUGGUUGUCGUCAGCUCGUGUCGUGAGAUGUUGGGUUAAGUCCCGCAACGAGCGCAACCCUUAUGACUAGUUGCCAGCAUUUAGUUGGGCACUCUAGUAAGACUGCCGGUGACAAACCGGAGGAAGGUGGGGAUGACGUCAAAUCAUCAUGCCCCUUAUGACCUGGGCUACACACGUGCUACAAUGGAUGGUACAACGAGUUGCGAGACCGCGAGGUCAAGCUAAUCUCUUAAAGCCAUUCUCAGUUCGGACUGUAGGCUGCAACUCGCCUACACGAAGUCGGAAUCGCUAGUAAUCGCGGAUCAGCACGCCGCGGUGAAUACGUUCCCGGGCCUUGUACACACCGCCCGUCACACCAUGAGAGUUUGUAACACCCGAAGCCGGUGGCGUAACCCUUUUAGGGAGCGAGCCGUCUAAGGUGAACAA